rnacentral:tRNA from 1 species
CUGGUUGAAACCAAAUAGAGGUAACUCACCGUUAAUGAGCUUAAUUGAAUUAUAUCCAACCGUU